GGGAGAGGGCACAGAACUCUACACAGGUCAGCGUUGUUAUGGACCUGGACGUGGAGAGUCCACUGGCUUAUCUGUCACCUGGCCUCCACGGCCCAACAGGCUCCUGUGUGAAGAAGUAAAGAGUGGAGCUGUCAGAGGAAUCUGGAGACGGAAAAGGCUGGCCUUUGCACGCACCUGUCACUGUCCUCGUAAUCAAGCUCCUGCACCUGAUCUGCAAUCACCAGGGUAUAAGAGGGAGAACCGGACAACCAGCCGACGUCGGAUCGUCACCUAAGUCACUUGCACCUGUCUGUUCCUGCACGCUGGAUUCUCACCGGAUAUUGUACACCUGGGAAUUCACUCUCACCAUCCGCACUCCUCACGCCUGUUCCUGCCGCUCACCUACCCUUGUGUCAGCGAAUAAAUCUGACUUUCACUUGCUUUCUGACUGCCGUGUCGUUUACGUUCUGCGUUUGGGUUCAGUCCCACUACAACACCUGACAGUAUACUGUGAUUUUCCCCUCUCAGACUCGCCUGUCCCAGAGCGACACCCCAUACACUAAGCACUGUGGCGUCACACAGGCACACAAACACACACAAUAUCAUAUAAGCUACUCUCACUUACCAGGUAACAGUAACGUUGCUGUAGAAUAUUCGGGUUGGUUUUGUGUAACGUUGACCUUUGGCUCAUCAUGAUCUGUGGCAGUGUCACACGACGCGGCUGUAGCUUCAGGGACGGACUUUUGAAAACACUGAAAUUGUGUUUGGGUCUGUUUACAUUACAUAUGUUUUUACUUUUAAACUUUGUACAAACUCUCUAAUCUGAGAAUGGCUCUGACGGGCUCUGAGGAAAAACCACGCAAAGAAUGACUGCCAAACAACUUAUUGUUGCUUAGUUACAACGUUGCGUCCGAUAGGGGGCAAGGAAGCCCCAAAGACCCAAAUGUCAGUGC
ensembl:lncRNA